rnacentral:rRNA from 1 species
GACGAACGCUGGCGGCGUGCUUAACACAUGCAAGUCGAACGGAAAGGCCCUGCUUUUGUGGGGUGCUCGAUUGGCGAACGGGUGAGUAACACGUGAGUAACCUGCCCUUGACUUUGGGAUAACUUCAGGAAACUGGGGCUAAUACCGUAUAGGAGCUCCUGCUGCAUGGUGGGGGUUGGAAAGUUUCGGCGGUUGGGGAUGGACUCGCGGCUUAUCAGCUUGUUGGUGGGGUAGUGGCUUACCAAGGCUUUGACGGGUAGCCGGCCUGAGAGGGUGACCGGCCACAUUGGGACUGAGAUACGGCCCAGACUCCUACGGGAGGCAGCAGUGGGGAAUAUUGCACAAUGGGCGGAAGCCUGAUGAAGCAACGCCGCGUGCGGGAUGACGGCCUUCGGGUUGUAAACCGCUUUAGCCUGUGACGAAGCGUGAGUGACGGUAAUGGGUAAAGAAGCACCGGCUAACUACGUG